AAGUAUUCUUCGGUGCAGCCAGCGCUUCCAACAGCGCGGCAGCCCAAACCUUACACACUGUGAUUAAGUUUUUUUACUAUUUACUUUGGCUGCGCAAGUGGCCAAAGGUCUUAAACACAAAGAUUUAUAUCUUUUUUUACAAAAUUUAAUCAAUGAAGUUUUAAUACUAUAAUCUUC
rnacentral:misc_RNA from 1 species